rnacentral:rRNA from 1 species
GAUGAACGCUGGCGGCGUGCUUAAUACAUGCAAGUCGAGCGGAAAGGUCUCUUCGGAGAUACUCGAGCGGCGGACGGGUGAGUAACGCGUAAGAAUGUACCCCAAAGUGAGGAAUAAGCACCAGAAAUGGUGUCUAAUGCCGCAUGUGCCCUUCGGAGUAAAGCUUUAUGCGCUUUGGGAGCAGCUCGCGUCGGAUUAGCUAGUUGGUAAGGUAACGGCUUACCAAGGCGACGAUCAGUAGCUGGUCUGAGAGGAUGACCAGCCACACUGGGACUGAGACACGGCCCAGACUCCUACGGGAGGCAGCAGUAGGGAAUUUUCCACAAUGGGCGAGAGCCUGAUGGAGCAACGCCGCGUGAUGGAUGAAGGCCUUCGGGUUGUAAACAUCUUUUGUCUGUGACGAAGAUGACGGUAGCAGACGAAUAAGGAUCGGCUAACUACGUGCCAGCCGCCGCCGUAA